GAGGUUAUAGCUCAGUGGUAGAGCAUGCGCUUAGCAUGUACAAGGUGCUGGGUUCAAUUCCCAGUACCUCCA
rfam:Camelus ferus unplaced genomic scaffold scaffold390, whole genome shotgun sequence.